CCUACGGGGCGCAGCAGUGAGGAAUAUUGGUCAAUGGGCGGAAGCCUGAACCAGCCAAGUCGCGUGAGGGAAUAAGGCCCUACGGGUCGUAAACCUCUUUUGCCGGGGAGCAAGGGCCGGGACGCGUCCCGGCCCGGAGAGUACCCGGAGAAAAAGCAUCGGCUAACUCCGUGCCAGCAGCCGCGGUAAUACAGAGGAUGCGAGCGUUAUCCGGAUUUAUUGGGUUUAAAGGGUGCGUAGGCGGGCUUUUAAGUCAGCGAUAAAAAUUCGGGGCUCAACCCCGUCCGGUCGUUGAAACUGGGGGC
rnacentral:rRNA from 1 species